GGGUUCGAUUCCGGAGAGGGAGCCUGAGAAACGGCUACCANNNNNNNNGNNGGCAGCAGGCGCGCAAAUUACCCAAUCCCGACACGGGGAGGUAGUGACAAUAAAUAACAAUACGGGGCUCUUUCGGGUCUCGUAAUUGGAAUGAGUACAAUUUAAAUCCCUUAACGAGGAACAAUUGGAGGGCAAGUCUGGUGCCAGCAGCCGCGGUAAUUCCAGCUCCAAUAGCGUAUAUUAAAGUUGUUGCAGUUAAAAAGCUCGUAGUUGAAUUUCGGGAUUGACACAUCGGUCGUGCCUUAAGGGGUAUGAACUGGUGUAGUCAAUUUCUCACCUUCUGGAGAACCGCAAUGCCCUUAAUUGGGUGUCGCGGGGAACCAGGACCUUUACUUUGAAAAAAUUAGAGUGUUUAAAGCAGGCAUUUUGCUUGAAUACAUUAGCAUGGAAUAAUAAAAUAGGACGGCAUGAUUCUAUUUUGUUGGUUUCUAGGAUCACCGUAAUGAUUAAUAGGGAUAGUUGAGGGCAUUAGUAUUCAAUUGUCAGAGGUGGAAUUCUUGGAUUUAUUGAAGACUAACUACUGCGAAAGCAUUUGCCAAGGAUGUUUUCAUUAAUCAAGAACGAAAGUUAGGGGAUCGAAGACGAUCAGAUACCGUCGUAGUCUUAACCAUAAACUAUGCCGACUAGGAAUCAGACGAUGUUAAUUUUUUAAUGACUCGUUUGGCACCUUACGGGAA
rnacentral:rRNA from 1 species